AAGAACAGUCUUCAUUAAUCAAGAACGAAAGUCAGAGGUUCGAAGGCGAUCAGAUACCGCCCUAGUUCUGACCGUAAACGAUGCCAACUAGCGAUCCGCCGAUGGAAAUUAUAUUGCCUUGGUGGGGAGCUUCCCGGAAACGAAAGUCUUCCGGUUCCGGGGGAAGUAUGGUUGCAAAGCUGAAACUUAAAGGAAUUGACGGAAGGGCACCACCAGGAGUGGAGCCUGCGGCUUAAUUUGACUCAACACGGGGAAACUCACCCGGCCCGGACACUGUGAGGAUUGACAGAUUGAUAGCUUUUUCAUGAUUCAGUGGAUGGUGGUGCAUGGCCGUUCUUAGUUCGUGGAGUGAUUUGUCUGGUUUAUUCCGAUAACGAGCGAGACUCUAACCUACUAAAUAGUUGGUACAUACUCUUAGUGUAUACAGCUUCUUAGAGGGAUUUGCGGCGUUCAGCCGAAAGAAAUUGAGCAAUAACAGGUCUGUGAUGCCCUUAGAUGUC
rnacentral:rRNA from 1 species